GGAGUUAGCCGGUGCUUCUUCUGUGAGUGAUGUCCUUCCUGCCGGCUAUUAACCCGCAGGCCUUCUUCCUCACUGAAAGUGCUUUACAACCCGAAGGCCUUCUUCACACACGCGGCAUGGCUGGAUCAGGGUUGCCCCCAUUGUCCAAUAUUCCCCACUGCUGCCUCCCGUAGGAGUCUGGGCCGUGUCUCAGUCCCAGUGUGGCUGAUCAUCCUCUCAGACCAGCUACGGAUCGUCGCCUUGGUGAGCCGUUACCUCACCAACCAGCUAAUCCGACAUAGGCUCAUCCGAUAGCGCGAGGCCCGAAGGUCCCCCGCUUUCCCCCGUAGGGCGUAUGCGGUAUUAGCCUGGGUUUCCCCAGGUUAUCCCCCACUACCGGGCAGAUUCCUAUGCAUUACUCACCCGUCCGCCGCUCGCCACCAGGGAGCAAGCUCCCCGUGCUGCCGCUCGACUUGCAUGUGUUAGGCCUGCCGCCAGCGUUCAAUCUGAGCAGAAUCAAACUCUGA
rnacentral:rRNA from 1 species